rnacentral:tRNA from 1 species
GCCCAGGUGGCUCAGUGGUUUAGCGCCUGCCUUCAGCCCAGGCCGUGAUCCUGGAGACCUGGGAUCGAGUCCCACAUUGGGCU